rnacentral:rRNA from 1 species
AUACGAAGGGUGCAAGCGUUAAUCGGAAUUACUGGGCGUAAAGCGCGCGUAGGUGGUUCGUUAAGUUGGAUGUGAAAGCCCCGGGCUCAACCUGGGAACUGCAUCCAAAACUGGCGAGCUAGAGUAUGGCAGAGGGUGGUGGAAUUUCCUGUGUAGCGGUGAAAUGCGUAGAUAUAGGAAGGAACACCAGUGGCGAAGGCGACCACCUGGGCUAAUACUGACACUGAGGUGCGAAAGCGUGGGGAGCAAACAGGAUUAGAUCCCCUGGUAGUCCACGCCGUAAACGAUGUCGACUAGCCGUUGGGAUCCUUGAGAUCUUAGUGGCGCAGCUAACGCAUUAAGUCGACCGCCUGGGGAGUACGGCCGCAAGGUUAAAACUUAAAGGAAUUGACGGGG